GACUAAACCAGACAAGACAGGGACGGACAACGCGGAGAGAGAGCGGCUGGUAGAGUGGUGGAGGGGGUCGUGAGAGAACACACCUCAGUCCGAAUUGAUGACAGCACAAGCCAGUAAAAUACGAAUAUCCUGGAGGAGUUCUCAUGUUUUUACCAACGACACCAAGCAGGCGGCAACGGCUUUGUUGACAUCAACUGUCGACAGUGAAUAAUACAGGCAACGGUGUCUGUGAUGAAGACAUGUUGAACUGAAAAUGUCAAUAUAAGAGUUAUCCAUCUUGA